rnacentral:rRNA from 1 species
UACAGAGGGUGCAAGCGUUGUUCGGAAUUACUGGGCGUAAAGCGCGUGUAGGCGGUUUGGUAAGUCGCAUGUGAAAGCCCUCGGCUUAACCGAGGAAGUGCAUGUGAUACUGUCAGACUUGAGUGUCGGAGGGGGUGGCGGAAUUCCCGGUGUAGAGGUGAAAUUCGUAGAUAUCGGGAGGAACACCUGUGGCGAAGGCGGCCACCUGGACGACAACUGACGCUGAGACGCGAAAGCGUGGGUAGCAAACAGG